rnacentral:misc_RNA from 1 species
AACAAGGCGUACCUGCGGACCUGCGGAAGGAUCAUUACCGAGUUUACAACUCCCAAACCCCUGUGAACAUACCUAUACGUUGCCUCGGCGGAUCAGCCCGCGCCCCGUAAAAAGGGACGGCCCGCCCGAGGACCCCUAAACUCUGUUUUUAGUGGAACUUCUGAGUAAAACAAACAAAUAAAUCAAAACUUUUAACAAUGGAUCU